rnacentral:rRNA from 1 species
UACGGAGGAGGCAAGCGUUAUCCGGAAUUAUUGGGCGUAAAACGUCCGCAGGUGGCACUUCAAGUCUGUCGUCAAAGACUGGGGCUUAACCCUGGAAAGGCGGUGGAAACUGAAGCGCUAGAGUGCGGUAGGGGUAGAGGGAAUUCCCGGUGUAGCGGUGAAAUGCGUAGAGAUCCGGAAGAACACCGGUGGCGAAGGCGGUCUGCUGGGCAGUUGCUGACACUGAGGCGCGACGGCGUGGGGAGCAAACAGG